UACGUAGGGUGCAAGCGUUAAUCGGAAUUACUGGGCGUAAAGCGUGCGCAGGCGGCUUUGCAAGACAGAUGUGAAAUCCCUCGGCUUAACCGGGGAACUGCGUCUGAUACUGGAUGGCUUGAGUUCGGGAGAGGGAUGCGGAAUUCCAGGUGUAGCGGUGAAAUGCGUAGAUAUCUGGAGGAACACCGGUGGCGAAGGCGGCAUCCUGGACCGACACUGACGCUGAGGAGCGAAAGCCAGGGGAGCAAACGGG
rnacentral:rRNA from 1 species